rnacentral:rRNA from 1 species
AGUGAACGCUGGCGGUAGGCCUAACACAUGCAAGUCGAAUGGCAGCACAGUAAGAGCUUGCUCUUACGGGUGGCGAGUGGCGGACGGGUGAGGAAUACAUCGGAAUCUACUUUUUCGUGGGGGAUAACGUAGGGAAACUUACGCUAAUACCGCAUACGACCUACGGGUGAAAGCAGGGGAUCUUCGGACCUUGCGCGAUUGAAUGAGCCGAUGUCGGAUUAGCUAGUUGGCGGGGUAAAGGCCCACCAAGGCGACGAUCCGUAGCUGGUCUGAGAGGAUGAUCAGCCACACUGGAACUGAGACACGGUCCAGACUCCUACGGGAGGCAGCAGUGGGGAAUAUUGGACAAUGGGCGCAAGCCUGAUCCAGCCAUACCGCGUGGGUGAAGAAGGCCUGCGGGUUGUAAAGCCCUUUUGUUGGGAAAGAAAAGCAGCAGGUUAAUACCCCGCUGUUCUGACGGUACCCAAAGAAUAAGCACCGGCUAACUUCGU